GUACACCCCAAAGGAGUGUACAUGAGAACACAAGUGUAUUUUAGUUUUUUACAAUUUCAAUUUCUAUAUCUAAAAUGUACUUGUGUUCUCAGGUCACGUCUUUGAGAACACC
rnacentral:pre_miRNA from 1 species